GACCGUUGCCAUGUAUAGUAGAUCGUUACAGUCUGUUAGCAGACCGUUGCUCUGUAUAACAGACUAUUGCUAUAGACGCAGUUCUGAUAUCGGACUCUGACGGACGAUUUUUGUGU